UUCCGAUUGAUCCCGCCGGAGGCCAUUGCUGUCGGAGUCCGAUUUAGCCAUGCUAGUCGUGCGAGUUCAGACUCGCGGCACCGAGCUCAGUAACACGUGGCCAAACUACCCUGUAGAGACGUAUAACCUCGGGAAACUGAGGCUAAUCCGUCAUACCGGUUGAACGGUUGAAACCCAUCAACCUCUAAACGCCCCGGCGCUACAGGAUGUGGCUGCGGCCGAUUAGGUUGACGGUGGGGUAACGGCCCACCGUGCCAAUAAUCGGAACAGGUUGUGAGAGCAAGAACCUGGAGACGGCAUCUGAGACAAGAUGCCGGGCCCUACGGGGCGCAGCAGGCGCGAAACCUUUACACUGCACGCACGUGCGAUAAGGGGACUCCGAGUGCGAGGGCAUAUCGUCCUCGCUUUUGUGUACCGUAGGGUGGUACACGAACAAGGGCUGGGCAAGACCGGUGCCAGCCGCCGCGGUAAUACCGGCAGCCCGAGUGAUGGCCGAUCUUAUUGGGCCUAAAGCGUCCGUAGCUGGGUCUGAAAGUCCAUCGGGAAAUCCACUCGCUCAACGAGUGGCCGUCCGGUGGAAACUCCACACCUUGGGACCGGAAGGCUCGAAGGGUACGGCCGGGGUAGGAGUGAAAUCCUGUAAUCCCGUCCGGACCACCGAUGGCGAAAGCACUUCGAGAAAACGGAUCCGACAGUGAGGGACGAAAGCCAGGGUCUCCAACCGGAUUAGAUACCCGGGUAGUCCUGGCCGUAAACAAUGUUCGCUAGGUAUG
rnacentral:rRNA from 1 species